rnacentral:rRNA from 1 species
UAGGGAAUCUUCCACAAUGGGCGAAAGCCUGAUGGAGCAACGCCGCGUGUGUGAUGAAGGGUUUCGGCUCGUAAAACACUGUUGUAAGAGAAGAAUGACAUUGAGAGUAACUGUUCAAUGUGUGACGGUAUCUUACCAGAAAGGAACGGCUAAAUACGUGCGAG